rnacentral:tRNA from 1 species
GGAGAUGCAGCUCAGUGGUAGAACACUUGCCUAGCAUGCAGGAGGCCCUGGGUUCAAUCCCCAGCCCUGCCC